UCUCCGUAGUUGAACCUGCGGAGAGAUCAUUACUGAGUGAGGGCUUUGGCCCGACCUCCAACCCUUUGUGAACCAAACUUGUUGCUUCGGGGGCGACCCUGCCGCUUCGGCGGUGCGGCGCCCCCGGAGGCCAUUAAACACUGCAUCAUUGCGUCAGAGUUAAAGUAAAUUAAACAAAACUUUCAACAACGGAUCUCUUGGUUCUGGCAUCGAUGAAGAACGCAGC
rnacentral:misc_RNA from 1 species